UUUUAUGGAGAGUUUGAUCCUGGCUCAGGAUGAACGCUGGCGGCGUGCCUAAUACAUGCAAGUCGAGCGAACGGACGAGAAGCUUGCUUCUCUGAUGUUAGCGGCGGACGGGUGAGUAACACGUGGAUAACCUACCUAUAAGACUGGGAUAACUUCGGGAAACCGGAGCUAAUACCGGAUAAUAUUUUGAACCGCAUGGUUCAAAAGUGAAAGACGGUCUUGCUGUCACUUAUAGAUGGAUCCGCGCUGCAUUAGCUAGUUGGUAAGGUAACGGCUUACCAAGGCAACGAUGCAUAGCCGACCUGAGAGGGUGAUCGGCCACACUGGAACUGAGACACGGUCCAGACUCCUACGGGAGGCAGCAGUAGGGAAUCUUCCGCAAUGGGCGAAAGCCUGACGGAGCAACGCCGCGUGAGUGAUGAAGGUCUUCGGAUCGUAAAACUCUGUUAUUAGGGAAGAACAUAUGUGUAAGUAACUGUGCACAUCUUGACGGUACCUAAUCAGAAAGCCACGGCUAACUACGUGCCAGCAGCCGCGGUAAUACGUAGGUGGCAAGCGUUAUCCGGAAUUAUUGGGCGUAAAGCGCGCGUAGGCGGUUUUUUAAGUCUGAUGUGAAAGCCCACGGCUCAACCGUGGAGGGUCAUUGGAAACUGGAAAACUUGAGUGCAGAAGAGGAAAGUGGAAUUCCAUGUGUAGCGGUGAAAUGCGCAGAGAUAUGGAGGAACACCAGUGGCGAAGGCGACUUUCUGGUCUGUAACUGACGCUGAUGUGCGAAAGCGUGGGGAUCAAACAGGAUUAGAUACCCUGGUAGUCCACGCCGUAAACGAUGAGUGCUAAGUGUUAGGGGGUUUCCGCCCCUUAGUGCUGCAGCUAACGCAUUAAGCACUCCGCCUGGGGAGUACGACCGCAAGGUUGAAACUCAAAGGAAUUGACGGGGACCCGCACAAGCGGUGGAGCAUGUGGUUUAAUUCGAAGCAACGCGAAGAACCUUACCAAAUCUUGACAUCCUUUGACAACUCUAGAGAUAGAGCCUUCCCCUUCGGGGGACAAAGUGACAGGUGGUGCAUGGUUGUCGUCAGCUCGUGUCGUGAGAUGUUGGGUUAAGUCCCGCAACGAGCGCAACCCUUAAGCUUAGUUGCCAUCAUUAAGUUGGGCACUCUAAGAUGACUGCCGGUGACAAACCGGAGGAAGGUGGGGAUGACGUCAAAUCAUCAUGCCCCUUAUGAUUUGGGCUACACACGUGCUACAAUGGACAAUACAAAGGGCAGCGAAACCGCGAGGUCAAGCAAAUCCCAUAAAGUUGUUCUCAGUUCGGAUUGUAGUCUGCAACUCGACUACAUGAAGCUGGAAUCGCUAGUAAUCGUAGAUCAGCAUGCUACGGUGAAUACGUUCCCGGGUCUUGUAC
rnacentral:rRNA from 1 species